UACGGGGGGGGCAAGCGUUGUUCGGAAUUACUGGGCGUAAAGGGCGCGUAGGCGGCCUGCUAAGUCGGACGUGAAAUCCCUCGGCUCAACCGAGGAACUGCGUCCGAUACUGGUGGGCUUGAAUCCAGGAGGGGUGAGUGGAAUUCCGAGUGUAGAGGUGAAAUUCGUAGAUAUUCGCAAGAACACCAGUGGCGAAGGCGGCUCACUGGCCCGGUACUGACGCUGAGGCACGAAAGCGUGGGGAGCAAACAGG
rnacentral:rRNA from 1 species